AUCCAAUAACAUUUAUAUAUGAAAGUUUUUUGGGCCUGAUUUAAAUAUGGCCCAUACUGAAAAUAAAUGGGCUUAUGUUUUGUGUUUCAGCCUAUAGAGAUAUCUGGGAUAGUCCAGUUUUAAAUUCUUUUAUUGCAGAUCUAGGCCCAAAUAUGGGGACUUGGGUUUAUUUUUUUUGGGGUCAUGAUAGAUUAAAACUAAAAACCCAACAAAUCCAUGAAAUUUCCCAUUUGGUAAAGAAAAUUUAAAGAGAUCCUGUCCUAAAGCAAAUUUUAACAUCUUAUUAUAAGCCCAUCCCACAUGUAUAGGGAAUCUAAACUCAUCAAAUUAGUCUCAAACUGUCAAAUAUGGAAAAUUAUUAGGUACUUAGGGAGUAUGGUGACAUGAUACUCCAUUCUUUUACAUACACGGUGGACUUGCAAUAAAUUUAAUUAGUGAGACUUGUCAAGAAUGUGAGUUUUAUUUUUUUAUUUUUUUGAGAAUCAAGACUUGAAUUUCAUUAAACUAAACCAACCAUGGUUGAUUAACAAUAUAGAAUAGAGGUGUGGAGGAACAUCCUCCAUCCACACCUUUAAACCUGCGACAUGUUGUACAUGUUUUGUAAGGUUGAGUAACAGAAUUGCCAAGUCUACAAAUGUGGGAAAAUGAAACACGAUUGACAUCUAUUGUGGUUUUGGCUACAGCUAGGAUGUGACCAAAGGGAGCUAGUGAGUCUUCCUUGCUCUGUUGUGCUUUUAUUAUCAAUUUUGAAUCCCCUUCUAAUAUGAAUCUUGAGAAGCCAAGUUCUGUAACAAAGGAGAGAGCUCUUGCUGCUGCCAUUACUUCAACCAGAUCCGAAGAGAAAGGGAGUUGAAUAUGCUUUGAUAGUGAGGCCAGCACCUAACCAAAGCCAUCCCGAAUAACUACUCCCAAGCCUGCCUUGUUUAUGUCACUAAAUGUUGCCCCAUCGAAGUUAAUUUUCAAACAGCCAUCAGGUGGAGGGUGCCAUGCAACCUGGGUUGGUGGUGGGGUGACCUUUUGAGCUCUUUGGACGUUGCUUGCCUGUUGAUAGUCCGUUAAGGAUUGUUGGGAAGUUGGAAUCACCUGCGACAUGGGGUGAUCUUUGUUGCUCACUCUCAAUUGAUUCCUACGAAACCAAAUGUUCCACAUAAUGACCACCAUUAAUUCCACCUUGCUACAUGCAUUUGAGACAUAGAGAAACAAUUCUUUUAUAUCUGCAAAUGAACAAGCUUGGCAGAAUGAAAAAUCUGGUAUGGCGUCCCAGAUUGGAGUAAGCUUGGAGCACUCCCAAAUUGCAUGUAAGACCAAUUCUUCAGCUUGCCCAUAGUGAUCGCAUGUGUCUUCAUUCAAGAUUUUCCUCCUCUUUAGGUUUUUCUUCACUGGAAUAGCAUCCCUACUUGACUUCCAUACAAAAUUUUUGACUUUGUUUAGGACAUCAAGACCCCAAAUCAGCUUCCACAACUCACUGUUGUGAUCCGAGUGACCAGGAGACCGAUUGUGGAGCUUUUCCCUUACUAAGAAUUUGUAUCCUGACUUGACAGUAUAUGUACCCGAUGCAUUGAAAAGCCAUGUGAGUGUGCCCGCAACAGAGGUAGGCCAUAGUGGAAUACUCUUUAUCAAACUUACCUCCUGAGUGUUGAACACUCUGCGAUGGGACAAUCAUCCCAGUUGUGUGUCACUGGAUCUAUGAGAUCUUGGAUUUUAACAUCCUUAAAACCUUCAACAAUUGGUGAUUGGAUCCGUGGGUAAUCCAAUGAUGGCAGCCAAGCAUCAAGCCACACAUUAAUGGACUCCCUACUUCCUACUCUCCAUUUAGCAACUUUCAACAAAACAUCACGCCCUUUUAGGAUACUUUGUCAAGCAUAGGAUCCUGAAUGAGAAUUUGAGGCCUCCAUAAACAAGCAAUCCGGAAAGGAUUUUGAUUUGAAAACCCUAUAAAAUAGGGAAUUUUUAUUGUGUAAAAGUCUCCAUGCUUGUUUGGCUAGUAAUGCAUCAUUGAAAAGGGCCAAGUCUUUGAAACCCAUACCCCCUUAAGAUUUUGGAAGACAUAGUGUUUCCCACUUAACCUAAUGAAUCUUCCUCUUAUCUCCUUUUUGACCCCACCAAAACUUCCUUAUAAGGCUUUCAAUUUCGGAGCAUAAACCCAAAGGGAGUUUGAAACAACUUAUGGUGUAACUUGGGAUUGCUUGAACCACAGUCUUGAUUAAAAUUUCCCUUCUUGCUUGUGAUAAGAGCUUCUCUUUCCAUCCUUGAAUUUUGUUAGGACAUAUGUGAUUCACUUGUUAGGAACAUAUGUCAUUAUUUUAUGUAAUUGGCUAAUUUUUUGACAAAACGCACUUUACUUGUAUUUGGGUAGAUCUAGGAUGUGUUUAAUACUUCAAGAAACUUUGUUUCAAGAUCAAGUGUUGAAACCAUGCAAGUUUACCCAAGAAACAAGUUGAAAAGUGCCUGUCAUUAAAGCUCGAUAGCUAGCUAUCUAUCAAGCUUAAAGAGCUGUUCAGUCCCAUGGCUCGACAGCAGCUUGACAGAUAGGGUAUCUGUCGAGGUUUAUGAAAAACAGAAUUUUAGUUCUGUUUUGACUCUAAUCCGUGAUUAUGUGUUUGAGUUUUCUUUUCUCACAACCCUAGACAUAUAAAAGGAUUAUUUUAAGGGUCGUCAAAGUGUUCACAAGUUGCACAAGUGUUGAGUAAAAGUUUGUUUAAGCAAAUUGUGACCGGAAACAGAAUUUGUCCUAGUUCAUCGUUCUUGUGAAGAAGUUGUUGUGUUUGUGCAUCGUAGGGUUUUGUGACCAAGUAUCUUCUGGAUCUUCAUCGUUGGAAUGAAUUAAAGAACUUUGCAGCCAACAACCUUCUCUAAUUGGUGAUUGAAGUUGCGUAUUGGAAUCCGCGCAAUUAGUUAGUCACGUACUGAGAGCCGUGUAUCAAAAGGAGAAAUUGUCACUAUAGAACAAGUCCAAUUGGGUAUUGGGGUAAGGAUUCAACUGUAGGUUGGAAUAAGGUACUAGGAUUCCUUUGUUUGUAACCGCUUGUUGUGAUAAUAGUGAAAUUUCGGGAGUGGUGACCUUAAAAUCACCUGGUGGGGUUUUUACUGUGUUGGUUUUCCCUAUUCGUAAAUAAUUCACUGUGUUAAUUUAUUUUCCGCUGCAUACUUAGUUUAUUGGUGAUUUGUUUAUGCUACCACACAUUUGCAUGUUAAUUUGAUUAAUUAAUAAACUUGACUAAUUAAUCAAUUAAUUUAUCACAAUGGGUCAAUACGUUUUUGGCCUAUCAAGUGGUUUCAAAGCAGGCAUACUCUGAUUAGGUAUUAUCUUUGUUGUGUUGAUCCAUUGACCCCUGUUUGUCAUGGAUAGAUGACAGUCUUUAAUCAUACCUCCUUUAUUUGAUGGGACUAACUAUGCAUAUUGAAAAGUAUGCAUGAGAGUUUUCUUGCAGUCUUUAGAUGAGAAAGUGUGGCAGGCUGUAGAGAUUGGCUGGAUCAAGCCAAAGGAAGCGCCGACCGAUUGGGAUGAAGCCAAGAUCAAGGCAGCAAACUUCAACAGCAAGGCAUUGAAUGCCUUAUUCUGUGCAGUUACCAAUGAGGAGUUCAAGAAGAUAUCUUCUAUUGAAACUGUUAAGGAGGCAUGGACCAUCCUCUAGACAACCUAUAAGGGAACUAAGGUUGUCAAGGAUUCGAAGCUACAGAGGCUUACUACAAGUUUUGAAGAGAUUAAGAUGGAGGAGGAUGAGUCGUUCGAUGAGUUCUAUGCCAAGCUCGAAGACAUAGUGAACUCAACAUUCAAUCUUGGGGAAACCAUUCCUGAACCCAAGAUUGUGAGAAUGAUGCUUAAAUCUCUGCCCGAGAGAUUCCAUGUCAAGAUUACGGGGAUUGAGGAAUCAAAGGAUAUUGACAAGAUUCCUUUAAUAGAGCUGGUUGGUAAUAUGUAGACUUACGAUCUAAGGUUAAGAAGGAUUGGUAAGUCGAGCAAGAGCAAGAGCAUGGCCUUGAAGGCUAAGAGCAAUGACUCGAAUGAGUCUUUGGACGAUGAAGAUUCUAAUAUGAAGUCCUACAUCACCAGGCAAUUCAAGAAGUUCAUGAAGAAUGCCAAUGGGAAGAACUUCGACAAGGACCGAAGGCAAUUCAGUUCUUCUCAGUUCAAGAGUUAAGACAAAGGGAAGAAGGAUGCUAGGGAUGGCGGUCAGUACACUGUUCCCGCAGGACCUAAAUGCUUUGGAUGUUAAGGCUUCGGUCACAUGAAACAGGAGUAUCCUACAUAUCUCAAGAGUAUUGGGAAGAGUAAGGCACUCGUUGCUACUUUUAGAGACACCGAGCCUUAGGAUGAUUCUGACAAUGAGGAUGACGGAAUCCUGAAUGCCUUCAUUGCCACUGUCAAUCCUAUUGAGGAGAUUGUUGAAGAUGUGGAUGAAGAAGAGGAAUUGGUGGAGUUUAAGUUUGAGAAGAUGGAUGAACAAGAUGACAUCCACACAGCCUAUGCAAAGUUGCACAAGGUCUUAAAGAAGCAUGAGAAGAUGUAUAGGUUGGCCUCCAAGAAGCUUAGUGAUGUGGAGCUUGAGCGAGAAGAGCUUUCCACAAAGGUUGAUGAAGCCAAUCAGACUAUUGGGGCACUGAGGUAUAAGAACAAUUUCUUGGCUGAGAAGACCAAGAAGCUUGAAACAGAGCUGUUUCAAGUCAGAGCUCAAUUGGAGAGGAUUUCAAGUGCAAAGCUUGAUGAGAUGCUCAGUGUUCAAAAAUCUACUUCUGAUCGAACAUGUUUAGGGGUUUUGUGACCAAGCAUCUUUUGGAUCUUCAUCAUUGGGAUGAACUGAAAAACUUUACAGCCAAUAACCUUCUCUAGUUGGAAAUUGAAGUUGCGUACUGGAAUCCGCGCAAUUGGUUAGUCACAUACUAGGAGCCGUGCAUCAAAAGGAGAAAUUAUCACUACAAAACAAGUUUAAUUGGGUAUUAGGGUAAGGGUUCAACUGUAAGUUGGUAUAAGGUACUGAGAUUCCUUUGCUUGUAACCACUUGUUGUGAUAAUAGUGGAAUUCCGGGAGUGGUAACCUUAAAAUCACCCGGUGGA